GCGAACAGAUAAGGAGCUUGCUCCUUUGACGUUAGCGGCGGACGGGUGAGUAACACGUGGGUAACCUACCUAUAAGACUGGGAUAACUUCGGGAAACCGGAGCUAAUACCGGAUAACAUUUGGAACCGCAUGGUUCUAAAGUGAAAGAUGGUUUUGCUAUCACUUAUAGAUGGACCCGCGCCGUAUUAGCUAGUUGGUAAGGUAACGGCUUACCAAGGCGACGAUACGUAGCCGACCUGAGAGGGUGAUCGGCCACACUGGAACUGAGACACGGUCCAGACUCCUACGGGAGGCAGCAGUAGGGAAUCUUCCGCAAUGGGCGAAAGCCUGACGGAGCAACGCCGCGUGAGUGAUGAAGGGUUUCGGCUCGUAAAACUCUGUUAUUAGGGAAGAACAAACGUGUAAGUAACUGUGCACGUCUUGACGGUACCUAAUCAGAAAGCCACGGCUAACUACGUGCCAGCAGCCGCGGUAAUACGUAGGUGGCAAGCGUUAUCCGGAAUUAUUGGGCGUAAAGCGCGCGUAGGCGGUUUCUUAAGUCUGAUGUGAAAGCCCACGGCUCAACCGUGGAGGGUCAUUGGAAACUGGGAAACUUGAGUGCAGAAGAGGAAAGUGGAAUUCCAUGUGUAGCGGUGAAAUGCGCAGAGAUAUGGAGGAACACCAGUGGCGAAGGCGACUUUCUGGUCUGUAACUGACGCUGAUGUGCGAAAGCGUGGGGAUCAAACAGGAUUAGAUACCCUGGUAGUCCACGCCGUAAACGAUGAGUGCUAAGUGUUAGGGGGUUUCCGCCCCUUAGUGCUGCAGCUAACGCAUUAAGCACUCCGCCUGGGGAGUACGACCGCAAGGUUGAAACUCAAAGGAAUUGACGGGGACCCGCACAAGCGGUGGAGCAUGUGGUUUAAUUCGAAGCAACGCGAAGAACCUUACCAAAUCUUGACAUCCUUUGAAAACUCUAGAGAUAGAGCCUUCCCCUUCGGGGGACAAAGUGACAGGUGGUGCAUGGUUGUCGUCAGCUCGUGUCGUGAGAUGUUGGGUUAAGUCCCGCAACGAGCGCAACCCUUAAGCUUAGUUGCCAUCAUUAAGUUGGGCACUCUAGGUUGACUGCCGGUGACAAACCGGAGGAAGGUGGGGAUGACGUCAAAUCAUCAUGCCCCUUAUGAUUUGGGCUACACACGUGCUACAAUGGACAAUACAAAGGGCAGCUAAACCGCGAGGUCAUGCAAAUCCCAUAAAGUUGUUCUCAGUUCGGAUUGUAGUCUGCAACUCGACUACAUGAAGCUGGAAUCGCUAGUAAUCGUAGAUCAGCAUGCUACGGUGAAUACGUUCCCGGGUCUUGUACACACCGCCCGUCACACCACGAGAGUUUGUAACACCCGAAGCCGGUGGAGUAACCAUUUAU
rnacentral:rRNA from 1 species